UGGGGAAUAUUGCGCAAUGGGGGAAACCCUGACGCAGCAACGCCGCGUGAAUGAUGAAGGCCUUCGGGUUGUAAAGUUCUGUCUUCUGGGACGAUAAUGACGGUACCAGAGGAGGAAGCCACGGCUAACUACGUGCCAGCAGCCGCGGUAAUACGUAGGUGGCAAGCGUUGUCCGGAUUUACUGGGCGUAAAGGAUGCGUAGGCGGACAUUUAAGUCAGAUGUGAAAUACCCGAGCUUAACUUGGGUGCUGCAUUUGAAACUGGGUGUCUAGAGUGCAGGAGAGGUAAGUGGAAUUCCUAGUGUAGCGGUGAAAUGCGUAGAGAUUAGGAAGAACACCAGUGGCGAAGGCGACUUACUGGACUGUAACUGACGCUGAGGCAUGAAAGCGUGGGGAGCAAACAGG
rnacentral:rRNA from 4 species